rnacentral:lncRNA from 1 species
GCGAGCCCACAGGAGAGAGAAGGGGAAGGAAUUUGAUGGGCCUGAAAAGUGGUUCUUGGGGAGAGUUGGAGGCGCUGCAAAACAUCCCCGCCCCGCCCCACCCCUCCCUUUUCUUUCUCUCCUCUUCUCUCACCUCUUGACUUCCCACCAGGCCAGGCAAGGAGACAAAGGAUGUAGGAGGGUGGCAUGCAGGGGCCUGCCUUUGACGCUGUGGAGUUGAACGCCAUGCUACUGACAAUGAAAUCUAAACAUUUACCCAGAGCCCUGGGCUAGAAAUGUGCCAACCUGACCCUGAAAAACAAACCACCUGUGUCGCUGCCACACCUGCUUCAGGCCGAGCUGCCCCGGGUGCCAGGGGAAUGGGGUUCUACAGCCUUCCUCCACUCUUCCGUUUAAUAACUGGGCAGAACUGCAGACAGAAGCCCAAAGAUUUCUGAGACCUGCACUCAGAAAUGUGGAUGCUUUGUCCCUUUUCGGAGGGUGGGAAGGAUAUGAAGGCACAGGAUACCUAAGGGCUUUAUGAUGAUGAAGCCAAACACACACAGGCACGCACACACAUACACACACUUGUUUUCUUCUCCGGGAACUUGGCUGCUACUUGCAGGAAACUUUGUGCAUAUAAUAGCAGAGGCUACAGCGUGAUUUUCAGUUCUCUUUGGUUAACUCUCUCCCAUCCUCGUCCAAUGUGCUGCAAAGGAAAGGUUUUGUACAUUAAAUACGAACUUUAUGAUGUAUUUGACACCACGAUGUCCCCUUAAAGCCUCCUGAACAGAUGAUCCACACUGGGGGAAUGGGUGAGAAAUCCGGUGUGUUAGGUCUUUAACGUGGUCAGUAUAGAUUUUCUUCUUCCUGUGAAAAUCAAUGUUUUCUCAGUCCCCCUGGUAAGAAGCCUAGUAUAAUGAACUGUUUUUGCUUUUAGAAUAAUCAUUUUUAUGGUACUCUUAACUUUUGUAGUGUUCCCACAUCUAUUAUUUCAUCAGAUCCUUACAACAGCCCCCAGAAUCACACAGGGGAAAUUAUGUCUCUAAUGAAUUUGUCAGAUGGAGAUACAAACAUAGGAGAGAUUAGAUGACUAUAAUUGCGGAGAUAUUGGGGCUUAAAACUGGGUGUAAAAGGAAUUAUUGAGGUAUGUAUUACUAUUAUUACCAAGAUAUCAAAUCUGCUUAUAUUUAUAUGAGUCUAGAUACUAAAGACAAUUUCUGUAAGCUACAUAUUACAUAUAAACUAUA